UACGGAGGGUGCAAGCGUUAUCCGGAAUUACUGGGCGUAAAGCGUGCGCAGGCGGUCUGUUAAGACCGAUGUGAAAUCCCCGGGCUUAACCUGGGAACUGCAUUUGUGACUGCAUCGCUGGAGUGCGGCAGAGGGGGAUGGAAUUCCGCGUGUAGCAGUGAAAUGCGUAGAUAUGCGGAGGAACACCGAUGGCGAAGGCAAUCCCCUGGGCCUGCACUGACGCUCAUGCACGAAAGCGUGGGGAGCAAACAGG
rnacentral:rRNA from 1 species